AACGAACGCUGGUGGCAGGCUUAACACAUGCAAGUCGAGCGCCCCGCAAGGGGAGCGGCAGACGGGUGAGUAACGCGUGGGAAUCUACCCAUCUCUACGGAAUAACUCAGGGAAACUUGUGCUAAUACCGUAUACGCCCUUAGGGGGAAAGAUUUAUCGGAGAUGGAUGAGCCCGCGUUGGAUUAGCUAGUUGGUGGGGUAAAGGCCUACCAAGGCGACGAUCCAUAGCUGGUCUGAGAGGAUGAUCAGCCACAUUGGGACUGAGACACGGCCCAAACUCCGACGGGAGGCAGCAGUGGGGAAUAUUGGACAAUGGGCGCAAGCCUGAUUCAGCCAUGCCGCGUGAGUGAUGAAGGCCUUAGGGUUGUAAAGCUCUUUCACCGGAGAAGAUAAUGACGGUAUCCGGAGAAGAAGCCCCGGCUAACUUCGUGCCAGCAGCCGCCGUAA
rnacentral:rRNA from 1 species